CCUACGGGCGGCAGCAGUGGGGAAUAUUGGGCAAUGGGCGCAAGCCUGACCCAGCAACGCCGCGUUAAGGAAGAAGGCCCUCGGGGUGUAAACUUCUUUUUUCAGGGACGAAGAAAGUGACGGUACCUGACGAAUAAGACACGGCUAACUACUUGCCAUGCGCCGCGGGAAGACGUAGGUGGCAAGCGUUAUCCGGUUUUACUGGGUGUAAAGGGCGUGUAGGCGGGACUGCAAGUCAGAUGUGAAAUUCCAGGGCUCAACCCUGGAACUGCGGUUGAAACUGUAGUUCUUGAGUGAUGGAGAGGCAGGCGGAAUUCCGUGUGUAGCGGUGAAAUGCGUAGAUAUACGGAGGAACACCAGUGGCGAAGGCGGCCUGCCGGACAUUAACUGACGCUGAGGCGCGAAAGCGUGGGGAGCAAACAGGAUUAGAUACCCGAGUAGUC
rnacentral:rRNA from 1 species